GGCGGCGAGCCCGGCCCUCUGGCGUCUGACUUCGGCCCGCCAGACCGCUCCUGACCCCUCCCUGGAGGAACUAGGAACUCAUUCUCCCGACUCCAGAAGGACAUGUCUAAAGCUUUACCAGCCUCAGAUACCACACAGCGAGAGUCUCCUGCAUUGGCUACAAUCAACUGUUUUCCUCGUAUCAGAGCCACCACUGCAGUUGUACCACUGUCAGAGCCAGGCUUAGGAAGAAAAAUGGACAAAAAUGGAUGUGAAGAUGAGACAGACUCUGAAAGGCCAGAACUAGAUCUAUUUGUUAUAGUAUCAACAAAGGAAGAGUUUGGUUUGCUGGCGUGGAACGUAUGUCCAGUUCUAUGUUUGUACACAUUUAAGUAAGAUUCAAUUAAAAUCAUUUUAGUGAGUACUAUAGUUCCACCAUAAGUAUUGAUUCCCUUAACAAAAACAAAACCAAAAAACCACGAAAGAAGUCCAAGAUAUAUUGUUAAAUAAAGCAAAGUGCAAAACGAUGUAUAUAGUAAGCUGCUUUUUGUGUAAGUAAGAAAGGGAUACAGGAAUAGAUUUGUCUUUUCAUCUACAGGGAUACACAAAAAAACAAAAGUGGUUAAGGCAGGGCAUAAGGGUACAGACAAUGAGAAGCAGCAGCAUGGGAAUGUUUAACUUUUUCAAAAGUAAAUGUUUUUUAAAAGACUCAAUUUAUUAGUAACAUGUGAGAAGCUGACCCAACUAAUUCCACUUUUUUGGUAGGUGAGGGAGAAACAAUCUUCCUGUCCACUCCUUCCAGUGGAACAAGAGGAUCAAAUGGGUCUUUUCCUGUCCUGCAAUGCCACUCCAGAUCACAGCUGUACUCUCUCUUUUGUACCCACAUCCUCUAUUCAAACCCUCUUUUUGACUUCCUCUUUUGCUCCUCACAAGAGCGAGCAAUUUUGAAGCAGAAGGCUCUAGUCCCAGUGAGCAUAUGAAAAAAAUAUAUAGCCUCAUUAGUAAUCAAAAAAUAAACAUUAAAACAGAAAUAUUCUU